GGCUCGUUAGCUCAGCGGUUAGAGCGCCCAGCUGGCGAUGGGAAGACGAGGGUUCAAAUCCCUCACGAGCCG